rnacentral:rRNA from 1 species
GUAGGUGGCAAGCGUUGUCCGGAAUUAUUGGGCGUAAAGCGCGCGCAGGCGGUUCUUUAAGUCUGAUGUGAAAGCCCACGGGCUCAACCGUGGAGGGUCAUUGGAAACUGGAGAACUUGAGUACAGAAGAGGAAAGCGGAAUUCCGCGUGUAGCGGUGAAAUGCGUAGAGAUGUGGAGGAACACCAGUGGCGAAGGCGGCUUUCUGGUCUGUAACUGACGCUGAGGCGCGAAAGCGUGGGGAGCAAACAGGAUUAGAUACCCUGGUAGUCCACGCCGUAAACGAUGAGUGCUAAGUGUUAGGGGGUUUCCGCCCCUUAGUGCUGCAGCUAACGCAUUAAGCACUCCGCCUGGGGAGUACGGCCGCAAGGCUA